GCCAGCCCGCUCAGAAACUUAAAGGAAUUGACGGGGCCCGCACAAGCGGUGGAGCAUGUGGUUUAAUUCGAUGGUACGCGAGGAACCUUACCAGGGCUUGACAUACGUUGGAAGCGCAUCGAAAGGUGCGUGCCGCUUGCGGCCGGCGUACAGGUGCUGCAUGGCUGUCGUCAGCUCGUGCUGUGAAGUGUUGGGUUAAGUCCCGCAACGAGCGCAACCCCUGCUGCCUGUUGCCACCACGAGAGGUGGGGACUCAGGCGGGACCGCCGGUGACAAACCGGAGGAAGUGGGGACGACGUCAAGUCAUCAUGGCCCUUAUGUCCUGGGCUACACACGUGCUACAAUGGCCGGUACAGAGCGCAGCGAGGCCGCGAGGCGGAGCGAAUCGCUUAAAGCCGGUCCCAGUACGGAUUGGAGUCUGCAACCCGACUCCAUGAAGUUGGAAUCGCUAGUAAUCGCGCAUCAGCAUGGCGCGGUGAAUACGUUCCCGGGCCUU
rnacentral:rRNA from 1 species